rnacentral:rRNA from 1 species
AACUUUCAACAACGGAUCUCUUGGCUCUCGCAUCUAUGAAGAACGCAGCGAAAUGCGAUAAGUAAUGUGAAUUGCAGAAUUCAGUGAAUCAUCGAAUCUUUGAACGCACCUUGCGCUCCUUGGUAUUCCGAGGAGCAUGCCUGUUUGAGUGUC